UACGUAGGGACCAAGCGUUGUUCGGAUUUACUGGGCGUAAAGGGCGCGUAGGCGGUGCGGUAAGUCACUUGUGAAAUCUCUGAGCUUAACUCAGAACGGCCAAGUGAUACUGCAGUGCUAGAGUGCGGAAGGGGCAAUCGGAAUUCUUGGUGUAGCGGUGAAAUGCGUAGAUAUCAAGAGGAACACCUGAGGUGAAGACGGGUUGCUGGGCCGAUACUGACGCUGAGGAGCGAAAGCGUGGGGAGCGAACAGG
rnacentral:rRNA from 1 species